ensembl:lncRNA C-X-C motif chemokine 10-like
GAAGUGAAAGCCGUUCACCCUCUUUAGGAUAAAUCCUAUGUUCCCCCCAAAAAGAGAAAGCCCCUUUCCUCUUGUUUUUUUAUUGUAACCAUCAGGGGAUUCCCCUACAGGGGCAGUCCCACGCGGAGUGCUGCUAAGACAGUAAGGAAUCUUUCCCGAGAUCAGCUGCCUCUGGGGAGGGAAGCUUUAUUGCAUAAAUAUCCCCCUGCAAAACAGCAUCUCUCUGACAGAGGACCACGGACUCUCUCCAUCAGCACCAUGAGCAGAACUUGGGCCGUCUUCCUUUCAGCCACACUCUUGCUUGCAAUGGGAAUACAAGGACUUGUGACUUCAAAAAGGGGACGCUGCCUGUGCCAGUUUAAACAUCCCAAUCCAGUUCCACUGAAACUUUUGGCAAAUUUGGAAUACCACCCCAGAAGCUCUUCCUGUGACCAAAAUGAGAUAAUAGCUACGUUGAAGCCGUUUGGAGAGAAGCGAUGCUUGGACCCAAAAUCUAAAGCAGUGAGGAAGAUGGUGGGAAAAUAUCAGAAAAAUAUGAAACUGGCUCGGGAGAGAAGAAGAAUAAUGACUAGUGCUCUAUUACUCCGCUAGAACGAAGGACCUCAGAGUGGGCUGCCGAGCCUGCUUCCAGAUCAGGCUUCCAUUCUGCAACUCUCCUGCUUCAUUCAAGGAACAUUUGCAAGACAGGGGAGUUUCCAGAUAUCCUCUGCCCUUUGUGAUCCCCCUGUUUCCCCUUUUCCUAUUGUUUUUUAACAUUUUUUUCUUAGUUUCUGUAUAGAAAUGUGCUCUAAUCUCACUUUCAACAUCUCACCGCCCAUGUCCUAUGCUGUGUGCGCAUGUGUAAGAUUUAUACUCCAAUAUAAUCUGAAUACACAGUAUAAUCUGGAUUAUACUGGAUUAUAUGCCAGUAUAAUCUGAAUACACAGAGCAAAACAUGAUGCUUAUAUACUGCCCCAUAGCACUUAAAGGACUCUCUGGGUGGUUGACAAUUUAAUUAUGCGGGCGACACAUUCCCCCCCCCGUGAGCUAGGUACUCAAUUUACUGUCCUCAGAAAGAUGGAAGGCUGAGUAAACCUUGAGCCAGCUACCUGAGCACAUUGGAAUCAAACUCUGGUCAUGCACAGAGUCUUCUUGACAGCAGUACUGCAGUUUAACCGCUGUGUACUGCAUAUUACAACAAAUGCAUAAGCUCUGACUGUACUACAUGAUUGUUUGUUGUUUUUCAACCAACAUGGGUACUCCUUUGAAAACUGCCCAUCCGAAAAUCUAUUAUGUAAAAGAAAGAUUGUAUAGUUGGGUAAUUUCUUUUGAUUGGUAGACUAGUGGCAUUUGGAAGCACUCAAGAAUGUGAAAAGCUCCCUGCACAAGGGAUUAAAUCUUCUUGCCAACACAGUAUUUGUUGGUGCUUUGAAAGGGGGAAAUAAGUGUUUUCUGAAUAAGGUAAGACUUCAGAUUUCUUAGCAACAGUUCUUGGAUUUGAGACCUACACAUGUCAGCAACAGUGAUACAGAUCAAGUGGUCUUUGCUGCCUCCUUCAGAUCACUUGAGAUGCAGUUUUUAUACCUUUUGGCUGAAAAUAUUUCAUUACUGUAUGAAUAAAUUUUAAUGAUUCCCAGUAAUAUAUGUCUAU